AGCCUGCAGCUGUCUUCUGGAACAUGCUGCCAGCCUGCCAGGUUUUGAUCUGAAAACACUGGAGGAUCCUUUCCCGGUAGCAUCCAAGAGCAGCAUCCAAGAUAACCUUGUGUUGGAAGAGUUUGACAAGGAGGAGGAGUUUGGUAAAUGUAUGUGCAUCAGAAAGGAGAGAGUGGGAAUGAUUGAAUAGCCAUUUGAGCCAGAGACUUAAUGUUUUGUUUUCUGUUUUGUGAGAGAUAUGCUGAGUGAGAUAUGUGAGAGAUAUGCUGAGUGAGAGAUAUGCUGUUCAAACCAGAAGCGCCCCCAGUAAAUGCUAUAUGCUAUCCUAGACACAAGGCGAGGUUUAUCCAACACUUGCUUGGGCUGAUGGCAUCAUCCACUGUGGCACUGCCCCAGGCCUGUCUUCGCCUAAGGACUUUACAGACCUGGUUUCUGCGCACGUUUCGCCCACAAAUACACUCUCAACAGUGGCUCCUUGUAGCGCCUCGCGGGGGCAGUCUCCUGAUAGACAUGCACGUCCAACCUAACUCAAGGGACUCUAUUCCACAUGCAAACGCCCACCCUUAUGAUCACCAUAGAUGCCAUCCCCAGUACGGGAUGGGGAGCGCAUUUCAAAGACCUAGUGGUCGCUGGGACUUGGACAAAGGAAGAACGAUGCCAUCACAUCAGUUAUCUCAAGCUCAGGGUGAUGUUCUUGGUGCUCAAGGCUUUCUGUCAUUGGAUAGAAGGAUCUGCUGUACUCCUCAUAGACAACACUAUGGCCAGAUUUUACCUGAACAGACAGGGAGGGACAGCAUCUCUUUCUCUGCUCAGUCUGGCAAUGCGACGCUGGAUGUGGUGCCUGGAGUGGAGAAUUUGGCCUUUGGCAGUACACAUCCAAGGGAAUGUCAACACUUUUGUGGAUGCCGUGAAACAACCUUUGAGUCGUGAAACAUCCUUUCUCACAAAUGGUGCCUGGAUCCGGGCAUGCUGUGCAAGAUCUUCCACAAGUGGAGAGCUCUGCGUUUAGAUGAAUUUGCGUCAGCCCAGAAUUCUCAGUGUGUGCAAUUCUGCAGCAGGGUGGGAAGGGAUCUGGAGUUGGAAGAGGACGCCUUCUUCCUGCAUUGGGGCAACCAGCUCCUGUAUAUGUUUCCUCCAUUCCCCUUGAUACCAAGAGUCCUACAGAAAAUUGUCGAGGUCAAGGCCAUAUGUAUCCUAAUUGCACCAUGGUGGCCCAUGCAACUCUGCUUCACCAUUUAAUAUGCAGAUCCAUCAAAGGGACUACCUGUCUCAUCGCAAAGGAUUGCCACUUGGCUCAAGGAGGCUAUCUCCUUGGCGUAUCAAUUGGCUUCAGAACCCCUGCCUGUCUGUUUUAGGGCACCCUCCAUGUGGGCAAUGGCUACCUCAUUGGUUUUCUAUAACUUUGUCUCUAUGUCUGACAUUUAUAAGGCCACUACAUGGUCACAUCCAACUACCUUCAUCCGACAUUAUGCUUUGGACGUUCACUCCAGGUCUCAAGCAAUGUUUGAUGCCUCUGUUCUCUGUUCUGCUUCCAUUGAGAAAUAAAGUUUGCUUGUUUGA